rnacentral:rRNA from 1 species
UACGGGGGGGGCAAGCGUUGUUCGUAAUUACUGGGCGUAAAGGGCUCGUAGGCGGCCAACUAAGUCGGAUGUGAAAUCCCCAGGCUUAACCUGGGAACUGCAUCCGAUACUGGAUGGCUUGAAUCCGGGAGAGGGAUGCAGAAUUCCAGGUGUAGCGGUGAAAUGCGUAGAUAUCUGGAGGAAUACCGGUGGCGAAGGCGGCAUCCUGGACCGGCAUUGACGCUGAUGAGCGAAAGCUAGGGGAGCAAACGGG